AAGAACCUUACCAGGUCUUGACAUCCCUCUGACCGCUCUAGAGAUAGAGUUUUCCUUCGGGACAGAGGUGACAGGUGGUGCAUGGUUGUCGUCAGCUCGUGUCGUGAGAUGUUGGGUUAAGUCCCGCAACGAGCGCAACCCCUAUUGUUAGUUGCCAUCAUUUAGUUGGGCACUCUAGCGAGACUGCCGGUAAUAAACCGGAGGAAGGUGGGGAUGACGUCAAAUCAUCAUGCCCCUUAUGACCUGGGCUACACACGUGCUACAAUGGCUGGUACAACGAGUCGCAAGUCGGUGACGACAAGCUAAUCUCUUAAAGCCAGUCUCAGUUCGGAUUGUAGGCUGCAACUCGCCUACAUGAAGUCGGAAUCGCUAGUAAUCGCGGAUCAGCACGCCGCGGUGAAUACGUUCCCGGGCCUUGUACACACCGCCCGUCACACCACGAGAGUUUGUAACACCCGAAGUCGGUGAGGUAACCGUAAGGAGCCAGCCGCCUAAGGUGGGAUAGAUGAUUGGGGUGAAGUCGUAACAAGGUAACCGUACCU
rnacentral:rRNA from 1 species